CCUACGGGAGACAGCAGUGAGGAAUAUUGGUCAAUGGGCGGGAGCCUGAACCAGCCAAGCCGCGUGAGGGAAGAAGGUACAGCGUAUCGUAAACCUCUUUUGUCAGGGAACAAAGGCGGGGACUAGUCCCCGGAUGAGGGUACCUGAAGAAAAAGCAUCGGCUAACUCCGUGCCAGCAGCCGCGGUAAUACGGAGGAUGCGAGCGUUAUCCGGAUUUAUUGGGUUUAAAGGGUGCGCAGGCGGCCUGUUAAGUCAGCGGGAAAAGCCCGGGGCUCAACCCCGGCGAGCCGUUGAAACUGGCGGGCUGGAGUUGGAGAGAAGUACGCGGAAUGCGCGGGGUAGCGGUGAAAUGCUUAGAUAUCGCGCAGAACCCCGAUUGCGAAGGCAGCGUACCGGCUCCACACUGACGCUGAGGCACGAAAGCGUGGGUAUCGAACAGGAUUAGAUACCCCGGUAGUC
rnacentral:rRNA from 1 species